UACGAAGGGUGCAAACGUUGCUCGGAAUCAUUGGGCGUAAAGCGCACGUAGGCGGCUUCGCAAGUUGGAUGUGAAAUCCCUCGGCUCAACCGAGGACGUGCAUCCAAAACUGCGAGGCUUGAGUACUGAAGAGGAUCGCAGAAUUCCCGGUGUAGAGGUGAAAUGCGUAGAGAUCGGCAGGAACACCCAGGGGGAAACCAGUGGACUGGGCAUGCGCUGACGCUCAGGUGCGAAAGCGUGGGGAGCGAACCGG
rnacentral:rRNA from 1 species